AGUGAACGCUGGCGGCAGGCCUAACACAUGCAAGUCGAGCGGCAGCGCGGGUGUAGCAAUACAUCUGGCGGCGAGCGGCGGACGGGUGAGGAAUACAUCGGGAAUUUACCCAAUCGUGGGGGAGUAACGUAGGGAAACUUACGCUAAUACCGCAUGAACUGGAGACAGCAAAGACGGCGGACCGAAAGGCGUCGCGCGGUUGGAUGAGCCGAUGUCGGAUUAGCAGUUGGCGGGGUAAAGGCCCACCAAGGCGACGAUCCGUAGCUGGUCUGAGGGGAGUGAUCAGCCACACUGGAACUGAGACACGGUCCAGACUCCUACGGAGGCAGCAGUGGGAAUAUUGGACAAUGGGCGCAAGCCUGAUCCAGCCAUGCCGCGUGUGUGAAGAAGGCCU
rnacentral:rRNA from 1 species